rnacentral:lncRNA from 1 species
CGUCCUCCUGCGUCCUCAUUAAGGAGGCAAAAUGGUGGCCGCGAACGCCAUCAGGCUGCGCCAGCGCGGGGUUUCGGCGCAAACAGAGGAUCCCGUCAGAUUCAGGCGGCCAGAACUCCUCCUCACCCAGGCCACCCCCCGGGGCCCACAGCCUGGACAGCUACGGGCGUGGCGCCUGCGGCACCGAGACCCCAGGCGAGAGUGUGGAGGCGGCGGCGGCUUCCCCGCGACCGUGAACAACGACGCCAUUAUCAGCACCCCCUGCCGGCGCCUCCGGCGCAGCCCGCGCAGGAUAUUUUGAAAAGCGCCGGAGAGCUAGGUGAAGAGCUGGGCUCCCAAGGGGGUGAUAGAACCAGCCCGCGGCCCGGCCUCCUCCUCCCGCUUCCCAUUCGCAGCCCGCCUCCCGCCGGGAAGCGGCCCGGCUGCUGCAGAACGGCCGCGCCUGCCCUCCCGGUUUCUCCCGUCCAGUCUUCACCGUCCUUUCCCAGAGAAAGCGACAGCACAGCCUAUGACAACCGAAGCUAAAACGGAAAAACUGGGCCGGGCGCAAGAGGAAACCAGAGCCAUUCGACUAUUGCUAGAGGAGAGGAAUAGCUGCAGGAAAACAUGCGCAAAAUAGCACAAACAUUGCGUCGUCAAGGCUGCAAUGUCUAAUACAAAAUAGAAGGUUCUCAUAGCAACAAAAACGUGCCCAUGUUGUGCUCAGUAUUACAUGCGUUAAAAUGUUCUUAGUUGUGAAAUUUGACAUGACCGCUAGUUAAAGUUACAAUGGAAGUUUUAAAUCCCGCUUUCCGAAAACUUUGCAGCUAUAGCAUGAAGUUAAAUUUUUGUCUUAUUUUCUGGAUAAGUUUACUAUACUGGAA